rnacentral:rRNA from 1 species
AACGAACGCUGGCGGCAGGCCUAACACAUGCAAGUCGAACGCUCCGCAAGGGGAGUGGCGCACGGGUGAGUAACACGUGGGAACCUACCUUCUGGUACGGAACAACCAAGGGAAACUUUGGCUAAGACCGUAUACGACCUCCGGGUGAAAGAUUGAUCGCCGGAAGAGGGGCCCGCGUCCGAUUAGGUAGUUGGUGAGGUAACGGCUCACCAAGCCUUCGAUCGGUAGCUGGUCUGGAGAGA